UGGGGAUCUGGCUUGGAUGGUUGAGGUUGGGGUUUCGGCUCAGGCUCAGGUGUAGGUUUCGGGCUUGGCUCAGGCUUGGGUUUGGGCUUCGGUGUGGGUUUAGGAUCUGGGCGGGGAACUGGCGUGGAUGCCCUUGGCUUUGAUUUUUCUUCAAGUGAAGAUUUGGGGUUCAGCUCAAGCUCUAGCUUUGACGGUCCCGGUUGGGGUUCGGGCUUUAGGUCAGGUUGUGGAGCGGGGUUAUUCGGAUCCGGUUGCGGUUCUGGCUUUGGAUCAGGCUGUGGUGUUGGUUUGGGUUCCGGCUUCGGGUCAGGUUGUGGCGUGGGGUUUGGAUCGGGCUGCGGUUGGGGCUUUGGGUCAGGCUGUGGUGUUGGUUUGGGUUCCGGUUUCUUGUCAGGUUGUGGCGCAGGGUUUGGAUCAGGCUGCGGUUGCGGCUUCAGGUCAGGCUGCGGUUGGGGCUUUGGGUCAGGUCGUGGUGUGAGGUUUGGAUCAGGCUGCGGUUGGGGCUUUGGAUCGGGCUGCGGUUGGGGGUUUGGGUCAGGUUGUGGUGUUGGGUUUGGAUCAGGCUGCGGUUGGGGCUUUGGGUCGGGCUGUGGUGCCGGGUUUGGAUCAGGCUGCGGUUGUGGCUUUGGGUUGGGUUGUGGUGUUGGUUUGGGAUCUGGCUUUGGGUCUGGUUGUGGUGUUGGUUUGGGAUCUGGCUUUGGAUCAGGUUGUGGUUCGGGCUGUGGUGUUGGUUUGGGCCGUGGCUUUGGGUCGAUCACCCUGCCACAGGCAAGGUCAGGAACACUUGCAGCAAGUGUGAGGACUAGGGCCAAGAGGAGAGCGGACCUCAUCGCGCUAGCUGCCACUGGAAUCGUAGC
rnacentral:lncRNA from 1 species